CUCCAUAUUUAUGGUAAGUGUAAAUGUACAAACACAGCUCCUACUGAUAAUCAGAGCAGACACUCAGUAUAUUUGGAGUAGUGUUGGGCAGUAUGAACAAAAUUAUAUAUCAUGGUAUAAGUAAUUUCAUUUCAUGGUAAACAGUAUAUUACAGUAUGUUUUUUUCCCCUGUUAAUUCAAUUAAUGGCUUAAAAUAAACCAUACUGUUGCAGACCAGACCAGUCUGUUGAUUUUUUAUCUUAUGGCAUACCUUUGGCGAAAGACUCUGUCAAGCUCUUUUGUAUGAGAGAAGUUCCUGCAACUUUAGUUUUUGGUGAAAUUGGUGCGUCACGCAUCUUUUGGCUCUCAUGAUAGAGCUUGGCAUGUUUCAUCUUUAGGUGGUAGAAGCAUAGACUGUAUAUACUAUGGACAACCUGGUUCCGCCUUCCGCCUGCAUACGGAUUUGAAGCCAAAAAGCUCUCGGUAAUUCUGUGUUUUUCUCCACUUCCUUGAAACCAGAGCUGUGCAGUAGCGAUGCGCGCAUUCGGCCUGUGAUGACGCUCGGCUCAAACAGCGUAUCCCCCCGGGUGAGCUAUGCAAUCCCUGAACGCCCAUACGCUGUAGCAGGUGUCAAUCAUAGAAAACAUGAACCCCCUAAUAACUUUUAAAGGGGACCUGCCAUCAAAAUGUAAUUUUGUGUGUUUUUUGUGUCAGAUAAGGUCCAUAUUAUGUUCGUCUUAUGUUGUAAAUGUGAAAACAAACCGUUACGUCAUUUGCAUUCUGUAAAGGUUUAAAAUAAAGAACGGGUAAACCAGGCCAAUUGAAAAAGCAGGUCCCUCUGACGUCGCGCUGACCUUGCUCAUUAUUAUUCACGAGCGCGUCCUCGGUGAGCCGCACCCACUCUCUCAUUCUCGUACUCAGUCACAGUCAGAGCGAAACCCAGCUACCACUGUAUCCGCUAUGGGUCUCUUCCAAAUGACCGGUGUUUCCUUCGGUUCACUGCCGGGAAAAGGAACUUAAAGCUGGGCAGAAUGAAUGAGAAAACACCGCUGGAGAUCUCUGGCUUCUUCUUCAACUUCCACCUCCUCGUCGGACUCGGGGUCUAAAAUAUAUGGUUUAAUACCUGCCAGUUUUAGCCUUUAGCAUAAAGUGACCAGACAUCCCCUCGACGGGCUCGAACAACGGUUAUUACAGUAGCCGAAUGGGUAGGAAGCACAAGUAAGCAGUCCUGAACAACAGUUCUUAUGGGGGUUAUUACAAGGGGCAUGCGCUGCUACUAAAUAGUACCGAGAUUUUGUCUGUGAUCACACAGCCCCUGCAGCGCCGCACCGAAUAUCCCCGGAUACCAUUACAGACAUCUGGGCACCUUACUUUACCACACAUUAGCAAAAUGGAUAAACCGAAAUCCGAACCUCCACUGCUGAGCCAAUCAGAGCACAGCAGGCUUCACAGCAGCGAUCCAAUCAGAGCAAAGCUCAUUACCAUAAAUGUUAAUGAGCCAAAAUCAGUUGGUUUUCCUGUAAGAUUUUUUAGGCAUACUAAAAACAAACCAUCAAAUAACUUUUCAGCUAAAAUUAUGUUGCAAACAUGAUCAGAGGACAUCAAGGAUUAUGAAAAAAUUAUAAAAAUGGGUAUGAAAUUUUGAUGGCAGGUCCCCUUUAAAAACAGAGCUGUACAGAAAAAAAAGGACUUGGGCACAAACCAGUCUUACAGUAACUACAUGUCAACAUCACAAGCAGGGGGGAGAAAAAAUUUAUGUUCUGUGUAAUAAAUUUCUAAAGUUUGUCCACAGUCCCAUGAGCUUUGCUGGAGGAGGCGGGAUUUAUGACCUGUACUGCAGCCCACCAUCAGAGGGUGCUGUUCUCGGAGUGGCUUCACCCAGCGAGGAGGCAGACAGCGUCCAUUCUUUAUACAGUCUAUGGGUAGAAGAGGUUGCUGGUGUUUCCACCUCCAGCAACGACAGCCACAUGACACUCUUUGCAUUUUAUUGUUUUUUGGUCAUUGUCGGAUUUUCUAAAUCCGAAGAAUCCCCAGACAACCGAUGUCGCAACUUUCGCCCUUAUUAGAACGAGUUCUUCCUCCUCUUCCUCGUGUUGGGUGGGUCAGGCUGCCUCAGUUUGCCCUGUUCUGCCACUAACCUCUGUGUCUGCCAUGACCACCACCAGUGAAGCUGUUUCUUUUUCGUCAAAACUAUGCCAAGCAGUCUGCUGGACACACUGAUUAUAGGGAUUGUACUCAAACCCGACCAAUCAAACGGAGCGAACAAACUCUGCAUGACACGUUGGUGAAUAUAUGGAAACACACCUAAACAGAUGUGCUCCGGCUGUCUUGUUAGUGAGCACAGACAACAACACACCGACUCAGAGAGACGCAGCAGCAGACAUCUGCUCUCUCUCCAGUAUAAACAGUAUAGCAAAAUUUCUACUGGUAGACACUUUUGUACUGUCACAUGGUAUAUACCGUCAUACUGCCCAACACUAAUUUGGAGGUUUCUGGAUUGUUUCCUAAUGAUGCUGAAAACAUCCUCUCUGCCUGAACCAUCUUUACACUCACACUAUAUAGGUGACUAUAUGGGGGUUAGCGCCAUUUUAAGGGGUGUCCGAAACCUGAGUGGUCAAUUCCAAUGCCCCAUAUAGGCACCUCAAAAUUUCCCAUAGAGCAUUGCAAAAUGGAGUGACCAUCAAAUGGUCACUUACUGGUGGUGGGCAUCCCAUCAUGCAUUGUGUCAUGCCAUGUAGUGUCCGAAACCUCCGGUUAAUUGAGCUCACAACAUAGUAAGCUAUAUAGUGAAACCCCAUAUGGGGGUUAGGGGUUAGGGAUUGAGUGAUUCAUUUCGGGCACAGCCUUUGGCAGCAGAGUGUGGUGUGUGGUGUAUUUUGUGGACCCAGAAGCAGACACGGAGACAGAUAGUAAAUUAAAGAUGUAGGGCUCUAUUUUUGUGCCUUGCCGGAGACGUGCCGCAGGCGCGGCGUAAGUCAGGUCCGCCGCGCCGACAAGGCGUUCCCAAGCAUAAUUUGGUAUUUUGGUGAGCGGCGCAGCCCGGCGUAAGUAUCCCCCCUCCCUAACUCAGCUCCUCCCAGCGGCGUAAGUCGUAGCGAGGGAGGAGAGAGGGCGUGGAGUGGGUUUAACACAGCCGAGACCUGUUUUCACCAAUCACAUAAGCUCCUCUCCUUGCCUUUAAAUCCGCCACCGGCGAGGCGUAUUACUAUUUUUGUGAAGUAGUCAAAGAGAUCAAGAGAUGUCUGAAGACAGUAAGGCCACACGAUGGCGACAGAAGGCCGCUCCUCAAAGUGUCACUGUAAGCGCUGCAUUGGGCGUCCUCCACACUCUCUCAUAUGAGCACAGAUGGAUUUGGUGUGUGUAAUGUUGGACCCACUGGUAAGACAAACACCCUUUUCCACAAAUAAAGACACUCACAUAAAGUUGCAUAUAUUCAAACCUCAUGUGACAAAGGUGGGUUGAGCGCAAAAAUGGCUCCAAAAAUGGCAUUAAAAUCGGAACCAUCUGUGCGUAAAUGACGCAUCGCGCUCCGUGGCCUGGCUCUUUCUUUCAUAGAUGUUGGCAUAUAAAAUAAAUUUGCCUCACAAAACUGAAUAUUAUAAUAUCCGUAUGUCAGCUUCAAGUAGAUAACUCAUCUGAGCACUGAAACAAAUCAUCUGUUCAGCCGCUGCAGGACGGAGAGAGGACACAGAGACAUGUCCAGGACGAGCUGUGCGAGAAAUAAGAGGAAGAGGAAGAAAGAAAAGGAGGGAGACGAAUAACAUAUCUUGUUAACUUCAUCAUGUGUGUUUAUUUACUAGAUAUUUAAUUAAAUUCAAUGCGGUUUCAGCUCUGUUGAUUCAGUCAGGUUGUGUGUCCAAGCGUGUGCCAAACGCGCUCACCAGAUCAGAUAUAGAUCAGAAUAUAUCUAUAUAGAUCUAAAUGUAUGUGCUGACUCAGAUUAAUAGUUGUUGAUGAUUAUUUAUUGCACUGAAAUGUGCCUGACACUGUGGAAACCUGUCGGUGAGGCAUCGGUGACGUAUGCCGAUACGCCGCCGGUCUACCAAAAUACCUCUAGACCAGCUGCAUUUCGCUUGCGCUGAAAGCUGACCAGUCUUUUAUCGGCGCACUUUACACGCCAUUGGCGAGCACGAAAAUGUCACUGCGCCAGCUGAUUCUGUCGACACCUCCCCCUGUCUCGCCACCACGCCCAGCUUGGCGGACCUCAGUGCGCCUCAGUCCACGAAAAUACCAAACUGGCUGUACGCUGGGCUCCGCCAGACGAAAAUACAACUGCGUGGGGUCCGCCACCCUCCAGGGAAAAGGCACAAGAGAAAGUCCGGUUGGCUGGCUGGCUGUUGUGUGGGCUGGAGACACUGUGGAGAAAACAGAGGAGAUAGAAGUGAGAGGGCAUACAAGGAAUCACAGGGAGCAAAAAUUACUAGCACUUAGCCGAGGAGAAGGCCGGGAAAGGCGUCUGUACCACUGAGGAGUGAAGACAAUACUCAGGUGCUGAGACUGUGGGCUUCUGGCUUCUUCAAGGGCCAUGAUUGUAGAUGCAGUGCAGGUGUGGAGUCUCACUCAUCCUCAGUGACCAGGGAGGGGGAGGGUGCUCUAAAACAGUCAAACCAGACCAGGGAAACAAAGAAACACAGAAAGUCCAACCAAAAUAAAACAAGAGGAGGAGGUGUCUCACCACACAGAGAGCAGAGUUCACGAACUGAGUCCAGUUUGAGGUUUAAAGAACAGAAAGACUUUGGUUCGUGUCAUUGACAGCUGCUGCUUUAAGCCUCAUUCUAAUAAACACAUCACCUCUAAAGUCACUGCAGACUUUUUCUCCAUAAAACCACACCAGAAGAUUGAGGUGUGGUUCAGUUCUAUGAACUGAACUGAAGUUCAGUUCAUAGAAACUGGAUUUGUAAAAGACAGGACCACCCACAAAGUAAAAACUGAAGCAUCAUUGUGAUCCAGUCUCCAUGCUGCACUCUGCAGACCAGCAAGCUUUCUGUCUGUCACAGAUGAUCUGAUGUUCAGUUCUACAAGUUCAAGUUCAUAUUUUGUUCUGUUCCAGCUGCUCCAGGAGAACAUGAUCAGCUUUGUAAAAAACCAGCUGAAGGACAUCCAGAGAGUUCUGAGUCUAGAUGAGCCAGCAUGCUUAGAGAGUCAGAGGGAGGAUGAGGAUGAAGAGCAGAGGAGGAGCAGAGGGG